rnacentral:lncRNA from 10 species
CUUCAGAGAAUGACUGCAUCCUGUGCUUCCUGAGAGGCAGAAGACUAAGAGACAGGGUGGCAGGGUGGUGCGGAGGGGCAGUCAGGGAGACCUUGAGGUUUCCUUGGUUCAGCAUGUCAAAGUGCCAUAUUUUGGUUUGUUUCUGAACCCCAACAACAAUAAUAGCAGCCAAUUAUUUUUAACACAGAGUAGCAGAUGAAUUCUAAUAGUAAUUGAAUUGGCACUUAGGAGUUACCUUAUCUGCCUUGCCACAAUUCAAAACUCCCCACAGUGUUUUCUCUCAGAUGUACAAAGAAAAACCUCCUGAUGAUAACAGUUAAAAUCUAGGAUAUUUUUCUAGGAGAGAAUGCACAGAAGUUUAUGGAAAAGCAGAUAUAACCCCAAUUCAAGCCAAUAAAAUCAGUGAAAACCUACAAUUAUACUAACAUUCUAAGAUAAUAGAUGACAAAUAUGGGAAGUUGUUAGAUUAAUUUAAAAAACUAUUAAUAAGAAGAAAGGGUUUACAGAGAUAGCCUAAUAUGGAGGAAAGAGAACAGCUAUUUUUAUCCUGAAUUUGUAACUAUCCUUUUCACCUAGGU